rnacentral:tmRNA from 1 species
GGGGCCGUCUUGGUUUCGACGGGAUUGCUGAUAAUAAAAUUGCAAGUCGUAAGGUAUGCGUCAAAUCCAAAACAUUAAAUAACUGGAAACAGAAAUACAAAUCUAGCAUUCGCUUAAUAAGCAGCUAGGCCUUUAUCUUCUAUUUUCUUAUGAUGGAUUAUAAGGGUUCAAUAAAAUAAGAUAUAUUAAUCUAUCUUCUAAGUAGGUUAAAGAAUUAAUAUUAGAAUCGUUACUAUCAUUUUGUUGAAUUAUAGUAGUAAUUAAAUAAAAAUUCAAAUAAGCUUGUAGUAAUUUUAUUAAAAUCAUUUUCGGACAUGGGUUCAAUUCCCAUCGGCUCCACCA